CCCUUAGAUGUUCUGGGCUGCAUGCGCGCUACACUGAAGCUAUCAACACGUUUUCCCUCCCUGAGAAGGGCGGGUAACCUUUUGAAUCAGCUUCGUGGUAGGGAUCGGGGCUUGCAAUUGUUCCCCGUGAACCAGGAAUUCCUAGUAGACGCGAGUCAUAAGCUCGCAUCGAUUAAGUCCCUGCCCUUUGUAUACACCGCCCGUCGCUACUACCGAUUGAACGUUUUAGUGAGGCAUUUGGACCGACGCAUCUCAGUUUAACCGCUGGUUUGUGUUGGAAAGACUUCCAAACUUGAGCGUUUAGAGGAAGUAAAAGUCGUAACA
rnacentral:rRNA from 1 species